ACGCAUGUCCAUAGGGAAGCAGAGAGUGACACGCAUGUCCAUAGGGAAGCAGAGAGUGACACGCAUGUCCAUAGGGAAGCAGAGAGUGACACGCAUGUCCAUAGGGAAGCAGAGAGUGACACGCAUGUCCAGAGGGAAGCAGAGAGUGACACGCAUGUCCAGAGGGAAGCAGAGAGUGACACGCAUGUCCAGUAGGGAAGCAGAGAGUGACACGCAUGUGCAGUAGGGAAGCAGAGAGUGACACGCAUGUCCAUAGGGAAGCAGAGAGUGACACGCAUGUCCAUAGGGAAGCAGAGAGUGACACGCAUGUCCAUAGGGAAGCAGAGAGUGACACGCAUGUCCAUAGGGAAGCAGAGAGUGACACGCAUGUCCAUAGGGAAGCAGAGAGUGACACGCAUGUCCAUAGGGAAGCAGAGAGUGACACGCAUGUCCAUAGGGAAGCAGAGAGUGACACGCAUGUCCAUAGGGAAGCAGAGAGUGACACGCAUGUCCAUAGGGAAGCAGAGAGUGACACGCAUGUCCAUAGGGAAGCAGAGAGUGACACGCAUGUCCAUAGGGAAGCAGAGAGUGACACGCAUGUCCAUAGGGAAGCAGAGAGUGACACGCAUGUCCAUAGGGAAGCAGAGAGUGACACGCAUGUCCAUAGGGAAGCAGAGAGUGACACGCAUGUCCAUAGGGAAGCAGAGAGUGACACGCAUGUCCAUAGGGAAGCAGAGAGUGACACACAUGUCCACAGGGAAGCAGAGAGUGACACGCAUGUCCAUAGGGAAGCAGAGAGCGACACGCAUGUCCACAGGGAAGCAGAGAGCGACACGCAUGUGCAGUAGGGAAGCAGAGUGAUGAGUCUUUGCUCCACACAUGGUAAACCCAUGUCUACUCCCUCUGUUCUCUCUCUGCUUUUGUUUUCUUUACUUUUUUUUUUUUUUUUGCUUUUUAGGGCCACACUUGAGGUAUAUGGAGGUUCCCAGGCUAGGGGUCUAAUCGGAGCUACAGCUGUUGGCCUGCACCACAGCCACAGCAACGUGGGCUCCUUAACCCACUGAGCGAGGACAGGGAUCGAACGCAGGACCUCAUGGUUACUUGUCAGAUUCAUUUCCACUGCACCCCCAACUCCUGUUUUCGGUCUUGAUGUUUGAAUUUCUCCUGUGGCGAACAAGAUGUUGUCCCAAGACAGUUUUAAGAGUCACCUGGUGCUUAAACCAGAGAAGUGAUACUCCCGAGGAAUUGCUUUUUUUUUUCCUGGACAGUGGCAAGAAGGUAACCUUUAAACAGUAAAUGUUUCCCCCUCCAAUGAAUGUGUGACCUGGGUUUGCUCUAGGUCUUUGGAGAAAAGUCAGACUGCCCUAGAGAAACACUUAUGAAAUUAGCUGUCACCCUAAGAUUGGACACCUUCUCCCUGCCCGUGGCCCCAGGCAGGGGACAGAGAAGGGAUCCCUCCUAGGAGACCUUCUCCUGGUCAGGAAGUGAGGCCGGCGCUCCGGGAUGGGGGCGGGGGGGUGACUCAGUGAGGAGGCAGCGGGUGUGGUUCCUUCCAGACAUGCUCCAGCUGCUCCAAGAGCCGGAAAGACAUGGUCACUUCUUCUUUGUGGGUUUUGCCCGAAUUUGCAAUGUCCCAUUUUUGAGAUAAAACUGGAAUCCUGUUUUUAUCCUGUGCUCUCUGAAGAAUUUCUGUCUCGGGACAUGGUUAGAUCAAUGAAGUUACAUAGUUUUAAGGUUAUUUGUUGCCUUUGCAUCAAGGUAUGUGGUCAGUUGUAGACAGACCUCCGUGGAGUUGAGAGAUUAGGACUCGCUGGACUGAAAGAGCAUGAUCAUUCCAAAGACGCUUGUUUGAAAGUUUGGGUUUUUUUUUCCCCGUUUGUUUUUUGUUUGGGCUUGUUCUCCCCCCGCCCUGUUGAUUUCUAAGCAAGUUUCAGCAUCCUCCGCAAGCUGCCCGCAUCCUUCCGGAAGCAUUCUCACUUUGGACUUGACCUCUGACAUUGCAGGAAACAUGAAUCUCAGAGUGCAUCGCUCAUUCCCAACAUUUCCAAACUAAAAUUGCUUCUUCUCCCAGUUGGCUCGGGGAGUGCCCUGCCUCCCCAAGCCCGGCUCAGACGGUGGGUCUCCAUGCAUGAAUACCUGAAAAAGCCACAUUCUCAUUGGUGCCCGUGGGCCCCGACUGUGGGGAUGACAUAAAAAAUUUUGGCUCCGAAGCACUUUAGCAAAAAAAGAAACAGGCUAGAACAAUGGGCUGAAAAUGAUCUUGGCCUUUCAAGUGCUUUAUCCAACGUUCCAGUGUGAGAACCUGAUCUCCCAGAAAGUACUUCUUUUAUUGCCAACCACAGAGAAUCACUGACAGAACUAAUUAAAGAAUUUGAACCUCGUUCUGUCCUUCGUUAGCUGACCCUCAACCAGGGGCUGGACUCGAAACAAAGACACUCUGAGCCAACCAGAUAUAGAAUGUGAGCCUCUCGCGGCGGAAGAGGGCUGUGCUCUCAUCCCCCUCUUGGAAAGAGCUACUUGAGCGCAGGAUACUUCUCCCUCUCUUUUUUCUUUUUCUUUUUUUUUACAAUGGAAAACGCGUUGGGUUGCCAUCAGAAAUAAUGAAGUUUGAAGUUCCUGAAAGUUAUUCACUUAUUGGACUCGACUUUCCACCCUUUUCUUGAAUUCCAGGAGCCAGGUCAAGACAGUGAGUUCUCAUGGAAAAUUAAGUGCUUUUGCAAAGGUGCUUAAAGAAAAAUGCUUGUUUCAGGUUUCAGACUCUCAAGGGGAUGAUGGUCAUUGAUUCCAGGCUUGAGACAACGAUAAAGACUUCCAGAUAUGAAUGGACUUCGGUGGAGUCUGGCCGGUUUACCCGAAAAUCUGCCCCUCCCCCGAGUCUGGUCCUAUCCUGGAUAUUCACCCUUCUUGUUCUUUUCCUCCCUACAUUUUAAGAUCGCACAACUUGGCAGUCGUCGUCACGGUCACAUGGAAUGACAUUUAUUGACUGAGUAUCUUGGCUGAUUGAAGAAUGACUAUUUUAAGAUUGUGGCAUGACUUCUUAGAGUUACAUAAUUAUCCACUGACGUGAAGGACCCACCAGGACAUACAUCUUUAUUAGUUUUUUGGUCAGCUGGCAUACAGUGGAAGAAGAGGAGCCUCAGGGAAGCUCCUGGGGAAAACUAUUAUUUUAUUCAUCUGGAAAAAUAUCAGGCUUAGAGAUUCAUAAUUUAUUUUUAUUUUUAUUUUUUUGUCUUUUUGCCUUUUCUUGAGCCGCUCCCGCGGCAUAUGGAGGUUCCCAGGUAGGGGUCGAAUCAGAGCUGUAGUCGCCAGCCUACACCACAGCACCGUGGGAUCCGAGCCAUGUCUGCAACCUACACCACAGCUCAAUCAACGCCGGAUCCUUUACCCACUGAGCAAGGCCAGGGAUCGAACCUGCAACCUCAUGGUUCCCAGUUGGAUUCGUUAACCACUGCGCCAGGACGGGAACUCCUCAUAAUUUAUUUUUAAAAUUAGAAAGCAGGAACACAAAUACUAUUUCAUUUUCAAAUGUUUGUUUUUUGUUUUAACCCUGGUAACAAUAAGGGGGGAGAUUUGGGCACAAAAAUCUUCACAUAAAAAUAAAGGGCGGAUCUCCUGUCUGGAGUAGUCCCACCCAACUUGCCCUCACCCUGCACAUCCGGCCGCCCCAUCCGGUUUCAUCAAUGGAGACUGAAAAGGUGUUUCUAAAAGCAUCUGACAUCAAGUCAAGGUCCCCUUAAUCCAGAAUAAGCUAGAACCCACAAGAGCGACUAACUGCAAACAAAGGUCAACUGCAGCCUGUGCUCAGAAUGGGGCUCCUGAGCUCGCUCCUCUAGGGAGCCCGGCCCGAGAGCUCGGCUCCUGCUGUGUGCGCGCCUCAAGAGGUCGCCCAGGAAGCAGAUGCAGGCUUUGGCAUGUCCGCUAAUCCCUCACUCUGGAGACCUAGGCUUCCACGCCAGACAGAUUCUCUUGCAAAUGGCCACAUACUUGACUUUGAACUUUUAGUGAGAGGUUGAAUGUGGGGUGGCCCAUGAGUGAAACUCAACUAUGCAAUCCCAGAAGUAGGCAAAAAGUACGGGGAAGAAAAGGGAAAUUAACAUUCUCGGAUUAUUUGACCAGGAGAGCACAAAAAUUGCUUCUGUGACAAUGGGAUCUUGAAGGCAUUGCAAUGGAGCCCAAGGAGAAUGAAAGAGCCGCAUGUACUUUGUGAGAUCUCUCUGUUCAGUUGUGCUGUGUAGAAUCCACUAUUUUCUCCUCCCUUAAGAAAAUCUUGGGUGUGUUCCAUAACUUCCUGGUCACAUUUGGUAAUUAAAACUUAGUGUGGCUUAAUUUAAACCCUUAAUUGCAUAUCCAAUUUACAGCUAGAGCUGUGACUCUGACUGUUUAGAAAGAGGAUGGGGGGGCAAGAUCUGGCUCUGGAUCAACCCUGUCCCCUUCUUCCUCUGGACCUGGCCAGGCAGCUGCCUGGAGGAGGGCUAGGGACCCAGGAGAAUCCUUCCUUAAAUGUCCACUUGCUCUCGCGAGGGCUUGUUCAGAACCCCCCUGGGUGCAUGUACGUACCAGUUGUGUGUGUGGGCUUUUUAACUUUCCCCACCCUGCCCAAUUCAGCCUUGUGUGCCAUGAGCCCUCUGUGGACAACCGAGGUCUUGACGUGGGGACUACUGAAGAAAUAAUCCCAUGGCUCCGGCACCUCCACCAAGAUCUGGGCUCCUUCAGGUGGCGCUGGUGAAAGGCUGGGGUCCCCUUUCCCACCGCCCAGCAGGAAGAAAACCAGAUGGGCUGUGGGUCCUCCUGCCAUUCCCAGGUGUUUCUCAGUUCUCACACUCACACCUCAGACGUUUGUAGGCUGAAGGUCGCAGACUGCAUAUUCCUCUGUGCUUUGUCCAGCUCAGGGCUACCCGUUGAGGCCCCCCUAGAACUCUGGCACCCAUUCUUCUGCGGAGACAUCCUGAGGGAAGGUCUGACAGCUUUGGAAGUUCAGGAAGGCCUCCGAUUAAAGAAUGAGAUGCUGAUUUCCCUUGACUGCAAGUAGCCCGGGCAUCACAGAUGACUCCUGCAGAGCCGGAAACAUACCCUCCCCUGCCCCUUGGCGAGGGGUGAGACCAGGCUGGUACAGUGCAUGGUAAUUCCCACGCGGCCCUUGCUUGGCACCACUCCCGCCUUCUCUAGACUGCAGAGGGCCUGGGAGCAUGCUACUUGGUGGUGGGGGACCAUCCUGCUGCCUCUCGGUCACCCUAAAGGAUAGUGUCUGGUCCUAAUGCACAACGGCUUCCUUACUGGUCUGGUUAGAACAUAAAGGCAUCUCAGUUUCCGGUGGUAUUAAAGACGGUGUUACACUACCACGACUGGACGUGACUGGAAGUGACUUGUUUGGGAGAAAAAUGUGGUUCCAAAAAAUGUACGUUUAUGGAAAAUUAGAGCGCAGAAACAGAAGUGAGCUUCCUUCCGAAGUCAUGGGCACAGAGCCACAGGACAGAUAAAGUUAGAAUCAUGGAGAAAAUGUUGUAUCCCAUGCCUGCUUGUUCUGAAUUCAGCUACGGACUUAGAGCCAAAGUAUCUUUGGGUCAUUCCAUCUAGGGUCCUGGGUCAUCCGCGCAUCCCCCCUUUCUUCCGCCCUUCACGGUCCAGCCGGGGUGUUAGUACCCACAUGGCUCUGACGCAGGGUUUUAAUUAGACCAUCCCAAGGUCGAUCGCACCAGAAACACCUGGGGUGUCAGGUACCCCAGGUCAAUCGGAUUAAAAUUUGAGAACCUAAUGAGAAGUUAAAGUUGGUGAACCUCGGGGCUACACUGCAAACUGCAGUGGGCCGCCUUCUCACCGAUGAAGUCAGCAGUCAGCUCCUCAGUGACACCUUCCCAGGCAUGACUGGCCUCACAAAGAACCUUCUCUUAGAUGGGCCUGACAUCUCUUAUCCACUUGCAAACUUGAACAUGCACAUCUCAAUAAAGUAAGCCAGAGCUCCCAUCCUGGCUCAGGGGAACUGACCCGACUAGGAUCUGUGAGGAUGCGGGUUUGACCCCCUGGCCUCGAUCAGUGGGUCAUGGAUCCAGCAUUGCCGUGAGCUGUGGCGGAGACUGAAGACAUGGCUUGGACCCUGCUUUGCUGUGGCUGUGGUGGAGGCCGGCAGCUGUAGCUCCAAUUCAACCCCUCGCCUGGAAACAUCCAUAUGCCCCAAGUGUGGCCCUAAAAAAAUGAGUGAAUGAAUGAAUGAAUGAAUGAAUAAAGUGAGUCUACAAGUGU
rnacentral:lncRNA from 1 species